UGCCAGCCGCCGCGGUAAUACGGAGGGAGCAAACGUUGUUCGGAUUUACUGGGCGUAAAGGGCGUGUAGGCGGCUUUGUAAGUCAGGGGUGAAAUGUCUCGGCUCAACCGAGGACCUGCCUUUGAAACUACAGAGCUUGAGGCCGUGAGAGGAGACUGGAAUUCCUAGUGUAGCGGUGAAAUGCAUAGAUAUUAGGAAGAACACCAGUGGCGAAGGCGAGUCUCUGGCACGGUUCUGACGCUGAGGCGCGAAAGCCAGGGGAGCGAACGGGAUUAGAUA
rnacentral:rRNA from 1 species